rnacentral:rRNA from 1 species
UGAGCAAUCUGCCCUUCACAUCGGAAUAACCAUUGGAAACGAUGGCUAAUACCGAAUAUGACUUCGGAUCGCAUGAUCUGAAGUGGAAAGCUCCGGCGGUGAAGGAUGAGCUCGCGGCCUAUCAGCUUGUUGGUGAGGUAAUAGCUCACCAAGGCGAUGACGGGUAGCUGGCCUGAGAGGGUGACCCGGCCACACGUGGGA